GGUUAAGUCCCACAACGAGCGCAACCCUUAUUGCUAGUUACCAUCAUUAAAGUUGGGGGACUCUAGCGAGACUGCCAGUGAUAAACUGGAGGAAGGUGGGGAUGACGUCAAAUCAUCAUGCCCCUUAUGACCUGGGCUACAAACGUGAUACAAUGGCUGAAACAAAGGGCAGCGAAGCAGUGAUGUGGAGCGAAACCCAAAAAGCAGUCUCAGUUCGGAUUGAAGUCUGCAACUCGACUUCAUGAAGUUGGAAUCGCUAGUAAUCGUAGAUCAGAACGCUACGGUGAAUACGUUCUCGGGGUUU
rnacentral:rRNA from 1 species